rnacentral:rRNA from 1 species
UACGAAGGGGGCUAGCGUUGCUCGGAAUUACUGGGCGUAAAGGGCGCGUAGGCGGACAGUUUAGUCAGAGGUAAAAGCCCAGGGCUUAACCUGGGAAUGGCAUUUGGGACUGCAAGGCUCGAGUGCGGCAGAGGAGACUGGAAUUCCUGGUGUAGCAGUGAAAUGCGUAGAUAUCAGGAGGAACACCGAUGGCGAAGGCAGGUCUCUGGGCUGACACUGACGCUCAUGCACGAAAGCGUGGGGAGCAAACAGG